rnacentral:rRNA from 1 species
GACGGAAGGUGCAAGCGUUGCUCGGAAUCACUGGGCGUAAAGGGUGCGUAGGCGGCCGUGCAAGUCUGGCGUGAAAGCCCCGGGCUCAGCCCGGGAAGUGCGCUCGAAACUGCGCGGCUCGAGUGCCGGAGGGGAGAGUGGAAUUCCUGGUGUAGCGGUGAAAUGCGUAGAUAUCAGGAGGAACACCGGUGGCGAAGGCGGGUCUCUGGGCCGAUACUGAUGCUGAGGAGCGAAAGCGUGGGGAGCGAACAGG